rnacentral:rRNA from 1 species
UGCCAGACUCCUACGGGAGGCAGCAGUGGGGAAUAUUGCACAAUGGGGGAAACCCUGAUGCAGCGACGCCGCGUGAGUGAAGAAGUAUUUCGGUAUGUAAAGCUCUAUCAGCAGGAACGAGACAAGACGGUACCUGACUAAGAAGCCCCGGCUAACUACGUGCCAGCAGCCGCGGUAAUACGUAGGGGGCAAGCGUUAUCCGGAAUUACUGGGUGUAAAGGGAGCGUAGACGGCAAUGCAAGCCUGGAGUGAAAGCCCGCGGCCUAACCGCGGGACUGCUUUGGGAACUGUGUGGCUGGAGUGCAGGAGAGGUAAGUGGAAUUCCUAGUGUAGCGGUGAAAUGCGUAGAUAUUAGGAGGAACACCAGUGGCGAAGGCGGCUUACUGGACUGUAACUGACGUUGAGGCUCGAAAGCGUGGGGAGCAAACAGGAUUAGAUACCCGUGUA